GCAAGUCGAGCGCAGUCCUUCGGGACCGAGCGGCGGACGGGUUAGUAACGCGUGGGAAUGUACCCUUCUCUAAGGAAUAGCCUCGGGAAACUGAGAGUAAUACCUUAUACGCCCUUCGGGGGAAAGAUUUAUCGGAGAAGGAUCAGCCCGCGUUGGAUUAGGUAGUUGGUGGGGUAAUGGCCCACCAAGCCGACGAUCCAUAGCUGGUUUGAGAGGAUGAUC
rnacentral:rRNA from 1 species